UACGUAGGGGGCAAGCGUUGUCCCGAUUUACUGGGCGUAAAGGGCGCGUAGGCGGCCACCGCAAGUCGACUGUGAAAUCUCCGGGCUUAACCCGGAAAGGUCAGCCGAUACUGCGGGGCUAGAGUGCAGAAGGGGCAACUGGAAUUCUCGGUGUAGCGGUGAAAUGCGUAGAUAUCGAGAGGAACACCUGCGGCGAAGGCGGGUUGCUGGGCUGACACUGACGCUGAGGCGCGAAAGCUAGGGGAGCGAACGGG
rnacentral:rRNA from 1 species